rnacentral:piRNA from 8 species
GUGGUUCAGUGGUAGAAUUCUCGCC